ACGUAGGGUGCAAGCGUUAAUCGGAAUUACUGGGCGUAAAGCGUGCGCAGGCGGUUCGCUAAGACAGAUGUGAAAUCCCCGGGCUUAACCUGGGAACUGCAUUUGUGACUGGCGGGCUAGAGUAUGGCAGAGGGGGGUAGAAUUCCACGUGUAGCAGUGAAAUGCGUAGAGAUGUGGAGGAAUACCGAUGGCGAAGGCAGCCCCCUGGGCCAAUACUGACGCUCAUGCACGAAAGCGUGGGGAGCAAACAGGAUUAGAUACCCUGGUAGUCCACGCCCUAAACGAUGUCAACUGGUUGUCGGGCCUUCAUUGGCUUGGUAACGUAGCUAACGCGUGAAGUUGACCGCCUGGGGAGUACGGUCGCAAGAUUA
rnacentral:rRNA from 1 species